rnacentral:rRNA from 1 species
GAUGAACGCUGGCGGCGUGCCUCAAACAUGCAAGUCGAGCGAGGCUAUGAAUUACCGCAAGGUAAGGCAUAGCCUAGCGGCGAACGGGUGAGUAACACGUGGGUAACCUACCUGGAAGACAGGGAUAACGAUUCGAAAGGGUCGCUAAUACCUGAUAAUAUCCAUCUGCCGGAUGGCGGAGGGAAGAAAGGGGAAACCCGCUUUCAGAUGGGCCCGCGUCCCAUCAGCUAGUUGGUAAGGUAAAGGCUUACCAAGGCGACGACGGGUAGCCGGUCUGAGAGGAUGUACGGCCACACUGGGACUGAGAUACGGCCCAGACUCCUACGGGAGGCAGCAGUUGGGAAUCUUAGGCAAUGGACGAAAGUCUGACCUAGCGACGCCGCGUGAGGGAAGAAGGCCUUCGGGUUGUAAACCUCUGUCAUGGGGGAAGAAGGAAGUGACGGUACCCAAGAAGGAAGCCCCUGCUAAUACGUG